AGGAGGAAGUUUACAGGAAAUGGAAAAAAAGGCACCUCACUGGUGGACCCCACAAUCCUUGAGUAUAAGGCCAUUUCUUGGAAUUUAAGGGGGGAUGGAUGGAAAAAAAAAAAAGAAAAAAAGGGGACCCUUUCCAUUAUUGAACAUACAGAAUUCCAUUUCUUCCUGGAAGCACAUGACAGUAGCCAUGGAUGAACUCCAUUUUUCUUUUUCUUCUCCACGGCACACGUAACACUCAACUUCACUAAAUACACAGAACACUACUAGGCACAUACUCUAUUUUUUUACACUUGAUAAAGAACAGGAACAACACAAAAAUGAUGAUUGAGAUGUGAAACAGAAAGAAAAAAGAGUGUUUGGAGAGAGAGACGCAAGAAGGAGAAUAGAGAGAAAAACAUAGGAGAUCUCGAGUGAGAUAAAACUGGUCAGAGUGAGGAAAAUAGCGAAGGUAUUAUUUUCUGGUUUGAAUCAAUUUUGCGAUAGUUUCGAGUUCAGGUUUGGUGGGUUUUGUAGCAAUUUCUGUGUUGAUUCAUCGUUCUUCACACUAGAUCGAGGAUUCAGUUUUGGAUCUCAAAUUUUUUUUGAUACCGGAGCUUGGGUUCGAAUUGAGGUUCCAAAUCGAGGUUCUUCGGCAUGCGGAUUCGUCCUCUCGAUUGACUGAUAUUUGGAAUAAAAUCCUAAUUGAGGGGCCCUCCUGAAGAAUAGGGUGAUGAAUCUGUAAGUCAGGAUGUCCACCUGAAGAACAAGGUGGUGAAACGGGAAAUUAAAGAAACUGCAAGUCAGAAACCCGCCUGAAGAACGGAGUGAUGAAAUUGAAAGACAAAUAUGGCAAGUUAGAAGUCCGUCUGAGGGAAACAGCGAAGGUAGCGUUUUCUGGUUUGAAUCAAUUUUGCGAUAGUUUUGAGUUCGGGUUUGGUGGGUUUUGUAGCAAUUUCUGUGUUGGUUCAUCGUUCUUCAUACUGGAUCGAGGAUUCAGUUUUGGAUCUCAAUUAUUUUUUAAUAUCAGAGCUUGGGUUCGAAUUGAGGUUCCGAAUCGAGGUUCUUCAGCACGCGGAUUCGUCCUCUUGAUUGACUGAUAUUUGGAAUAAAAUCCUAAUUGAGGUCCAAUUCUAUCUCCCUUUUAAUUUUACGUCAUUUUGGGUGAUUUAUGUGUUUGACAUGCUUGAAUUUUGUUGCGUGUGGUUGAUGUUGGAUUAGAUAGUCGAAGAAUUGGUGAAUUAGUUUUGACAAUGAAAUUGGGGAAGACGGAAAUUGAAAGUUAAUAAAAAUGAAUAUUAUUGUGUUUUGAUUCA